UGGGUUGUAGCUAAGUGGUAGAGUGCUUGCCUUGCAUGCAUGAGGCCCUGGGUUCAAUCCUCAGCACUACAU
rnacentral:tRNA from 1 species